AUUGAACGCUGGCGGCAUGCCUUACACAUGCAAGUCGAACGGCAGCACGGGUGCUUGCACCUGUUGGCGAGUGGCGAACGGGUGAGUAAUACAUCGGAACAUGUCCUGUAGCGGGGGAUAGCCCGGCGAAAGCCGGAUUAAUACCGCAUACGAUCUACGGAUGAAAGCGGGGGACCUUCGGGCCUCGCGCUGUAGGGUUGGCCGAUGGCUGGUUAGCUAGUUGGUGGGGUAAAGGCCUACCAAGGCGACGAUCAGUAGCUGGUCUGAGAGGACGACCAGCCACACUGGGACUGAGACACGGCCCAGACUCCUACGGGAGGCAGCAGUGGGGAAUUUUGGACAAUGGGCGAAAGCCUGAUCCAGCAAUGCCGCGUGUGUGAAGAAGGCCUUCGGGUUGUAAAGCACUUUUGUCCGGAAAGAAAUCCUUGGCUCUAAUACAGUCGGGGGAUGACGGUACCGGAAGAAUAAGCACCGGCUAACUACGUG
rnacentral:rRNA from 1 species